GGCCCGGGGAUGGGCAGAACUGCGGCUAGCUCUGGCCUGUGCCUAGCGCUCCUCCUGCAGCGUGUCGGGGUUUACAAAUCAGACCGCCUUCCCGUUUCGUAGCACCCGAGACUGCACCCCCCCACGAGACUCCUGUCCUCUCUGGGGAGGGAGUAGGUCUGACGGGACACGUUUUACACACACAGCGAGAGAGAGGCGAACAAGGCAAAACCACGCACACAAAGAGAGAGGGAGUCAUUGUCUGAUUCAAAACUAGGACUCCAGCCAUCCAUCCUACUUCUCAGGCCGGUGCUCAGACUACUCGGUUUCUCUUUUUAUACUCCAUGCAGAGCAAAGUUUUUAUGGUCAUGCCCUAUGGAAGGUCCACCGAGCAUAUGUUGCAUGGAACUCCGUUUUUGUACCUUGGAAAGUUGAGGGAUUGAGUUCUCUCAUUUUUAAAAAAAAAUGCCCUCCUAGAUUUCGAACAUUUCAGCAGCAGUCAGGUUAAGACGGUUUAAGAGAAUUUAAUGGUGUGGUAUGAAUCUUUAUUUUAUUCACAUAAACAAAUCCUAAUAAAUAUGGACUGCAUAAGGAAGAAAGAAAACUCAGUUUACUGUCCCAAACAACUAUUAGUCUUUUUAGGGAUUUAUGCAGUAGAGUUUCUGAUGGGAAGAAGCGUAGCAGCCGUGUUAGUCUGUAUCUGCAAAAAGAAAAGGAGUAGUUGUGGCACCUUGGAGACUAACAAAUUUAUUUGAGCAUAAGCUUUCGUGAGCUACAGCUCACUUCAUCGGAUGUGAUGAAGUGAGCUGUAGCUCACGAAAGCUUAUGCUCAAAUAAAUUUGUUAGUCUCUAAGGUGCCACAAGUACUUCUUUUCUUGAUGGGAAGAAGAUAGUCAGUCUCAGUAAAGUCCAAAUCAAAAUUCACUUUUGAUCAAGUUUCCUAUCAAACACUGGUCUCUCAUGCUAUAAGAUUGAGCGCUUCUAAAGACUUAUUAAAUAUUUUAAAAUACUUCAAAAAUUGUCUCCAAAUGAAUCCCAGGUGAAUGAUAAUUGGAUUGGCUGUCAAUGGGAUUUUUAGAUCCACAAAACAUUUGCCUGUUUAGAAUACACACAUUGUUCCUGGCUCUGUCCCUGACUUGGCUUGUGACCUUGUGCAUGUUAUGUUAGCAUGCAGAAGAAGGGGUUUGUGUGUUUGAAUGGGGACACGGUGAGAAUUAAUAGAUCAAGUCCUAUAUUAAAAUAAAAUAUUUUGCAUUUAUUAUAUGUAGUAUUAAUAGGUCAUCAUCCUUUUUAGAAAUGUUAGAUGUUUUUGUUUCUCUUUUCCUUUUCAAACAGCCCCCAUAGGCAUGCUUUCUGUUUUGGGAUGAUAUUGUGUUACAUUUUCUAUAAUAAAAAAUAUUUGAAGAUGAAUACUAUCAAAACCUCAUCAGCUCAAGACAGUUUAUUUGGCCUUUUUGACAAUAUACAUUAGGUCAAUACAAAAUCAAAAUAACCAAAUGAAAGCCUUCCAACUAUUGUUGAGAAACUAACUGUGAUCAACCCAGGAACUCUUUAGAUUCUCCUUCAAGAAGUGCUUCUAUGGGAAUCUUAAAACAAUUUAAUAAUGGUACAGAAAUAUUGAAUAUCCUUUGACUAUUAAACCAAAUAUUGAUAAUACCAAAACAAUACAGAAAAUUAAUGACAGAUCCAUAUUGGGUCACCAGGCAUUUACCCAGUCACUUUAGUGGAUUGGUACGCUUCCACGUCUGGUACAGAAUGGCAGCACUUUGUGUGCUCCACUGUCUGUCUGUUCUUGUGUAACAGGCAGAGGGCAUGAAGCCCAGGUCAGAAUUACCACUUGCUCACUAUGCCUCAUGUAGGGUGCUCAAAACCCCUGGACUAAAAGCCUUUCUAGUGCCUUAACAGUCUCCUAAUAAGCAGAGGAGAGGAAGCAGGUUUACACUUGGAGAGUAGUAGAAAGGUAGUCCUUGAUGCUCCUGUUUCCUUCCCUUUAUCAGUAGCAGCAGCUGCCCCCUUUUCAAAGACUAGGGGAAAGAAUCCCAUAGCCUUGUUUCUUUCUUCCAUUGUGCUAGAGAACCAGAAAAGAAUUUGCUGGUGGUGCUAAUCAUGUCAACUGCACUAGAGAAUGGGAGGCCAGGAACACACAACAGUGCUGUCCUUCCAUAGUGAUGGAGUGGAUUCUUUUGGACCACCAUUUCAAAUAGGUAUAUGCACAAAUAUUCUGAUGUACAUGUGCAUAAUUUAAGGUGUGGUCAUAAACAGUAUUUAGUGGAGUGCAAAGCUAUCUACUGUACUAUAGAAAAGGAAUACUUGUGGCACCUUA